rnacentral:rRNA from 1 species
GAUGAACGCUGGCGGCGUGCCUAAUACAUGCAAGUCGAGCGAACAGAUGAGGAGCUUGCUCCUCUGACGUUAGCGGCGGACGGGUGAGUAACACGUGGAUAACCUACCUAUAAGACUGGGAUAACUUCGGGAAACCGGAGCUAAUACCGGAUAAUAUAUUGAACCGCAUGGUUCAAUAGUGAAAGACGGUUUUGCUGUCACUUAUAGAUGGAUCCGCGCCGCAUUAGCUAGUUGGUAAGGUAACGGCUUACCAAGGCAACGAUGCGUAGCCGACCUGAGAGGGUGAUCGGCCACACUGGAACUGAGACACGGUCCAGACUCCUACGGGAGGCAGCAGUAGGGAAUCUUCCGCAAUGGGCGAAAGCCUGACGGAGCAACGCCGAGUGAGUGAUGAAGGUCUUCGGAUCGUAAAACUCUGUUAUUAGGGAAGAACAAAUGUGUAAGUAACUAUGCACGUCUUGACGGUACCUAAUCAGAAAGCCACGGCUAACUACGU